GAUGAACGCUGGCGGCGUGCCUAAUACAUGCAAGUCGAGCGAACAGACGAGGAGCUUGCUCCUCUGACGUUAGCGGCGGACGGGUGAGUAACACGUGGAUAACCUACCUAUAAGACUGGGAUAACUUCGGGAAACCGGAGCUAAUACCGGAUAAUAUAUUGAACCGCAUGGUUCAAUAGUGAAAGACGGUUUUGCUGUCACUUAUAGAUGGAUCCGCGCCGCAUUAGCUAGUUGGUAAGGUAACGGCUUACCAAGGCAACGAUGCGUAGCCGACCUGAGAGGGUGAUCGGCCACACUGGAGCUGAGACACGGUCCAGACUCCUACGGGAGGCAGCAGUAGGGAAUCUUCCGCAGUGGGCGAAAGCCUGACGGAGCAACGCCGCGUGAGUGAUGAAGGUCUUCGGAUCGUAAAACUCUGUUAUUAGGGAAGAACAGAUGUGUAAGUAACUGUGCACGUCUUGACGGUACCUAAUCAGAAAGCCACGGCUAACUACGUG
rnacentral:rRNA from 1 species